rnacentral:rRNA from 1 species
CUUUACGGGGGGAACGCGAAGAACCUUACCAGGUCUUGACAUCUUCUGACAGUCUAAGAGAUUAGAGGUUCCCUUCGGGGACAGAAUGACAGGUGGUGCAUGGUUGUCGUCAGCUCGUGUCGUGAGAUGUUGGGUUAAGUCCCGCAACGAGCGCAACCCUUAUUACUAGUUGCCAGCAUUAAGUUGGGCACUCUAGUGAGACUGCCGGUGACAAACCGGAGGAAGGUGGGGACGACGUCAAAUCAUCAUGCCCCUUAUGACCUGGGCUACACACGUGCUACAAUGGAUGGUACAACGAGUCGCGAAACCGCGAGGUUAAGCUAAUCUCUUAAAACCAUUCUCAGUUCGGACUGUAGGCUGCAACUCGCCUACACGAAGUCGGAAUCGCUAGUAAUCGCUGAUCAGCAUGCCGAACCCCU